rnacentral:tRNA from 1 species
GCGAUUGUAGUUCAGUGGUAGAGCACCUGAUUGUGGUUCAGGCUGUCGCGAGUUCGAAUCUCGUCAAUCGCC